rnacentral:rRNA from 1 species
CCUACGGGAGGCAGCAGUGAGGAAUAUUGGUCAAUGGGCGAGAGCCUGAACCAGCCAAGUCGCGUGAAGGAUGACGGCCCUACGGGUUGUAAACUUCUUUUGUCAGGGAGCAAUUGGGUCCACGCGUGGGCUUAGCGAGAGUACCUGAAGAAAAAGCAUCGGCUAACUCCGUGCCAGCAGCCGCGGUAAUACGGAGGAUGCGAGCGUUAUCCGGAUUUAUUGGGUUUAAAGGGAGCGUAGGCCGCAUGUCAAGCGUGCUGUGAAAUGUCCGGGCUCAACCCGGGCCUUGCAGCGCGAACUGGCGUGCUUGAGUCCGCGGAAAGCAGGCGGAAUUCGUCGUGUAGCGGUGAAAUGCUUAGAUAUGACGAAGAACCCCGAUUGCGAAGGCAGCUUGCUGCAGCGGAACUGACGCUGAUGCUCGAAAGCGCGGGUAUCGAACAGGAUUAGAUACCCCAGUAGUC